rnacentral:rRNA from 1 species
UACAGAGGGGGCAAGCGUUGUUCGGAAUUACUGGGCGUAAAGGGCGCGUAGGCGGCCUGCUAAGUCGAACGUGAAAUCCCCGGACUCAACCCGGGAACUGCGUCCGAUACUGGCAGGCUUGAAUUCGGGAGAGGGAUGCGGAAUUCCAGGUGUAGCGGUGAAAUGCGUAGAUAUCUGGAGGAACACCGGUGGCGAAGGCGGCAUCCUGGACCGAAAUUGACGCUGAGGCGCGAAAGCCAGGGGAGCAAACGGG